UCCGAUUUGUCACCGGCAGUCUCCCUAGAGUCCCCGACAUAGCUCGCUGGCAACUAGAGGCAAGGGUUGCGCUCGUUGCGGGACUUAACCCAACAUCUCACGACACGAGCUGACGACAGCCAUGCAGCACCUGUGUCCAGGCUCCCUUUCGGGCACCCCUCCAUCUCUGGAGGGUUCCUGGCAUGUCAAGGGUAGGUAAGGUUUUUCGCGUUGCAUCGAAUUAAUCCACAUAAUCCACCGCUUGUGCGGGUCCCCGUCAAUUCCUUUGAGUUUUAAUCUUGCGACCGUACUCCCCAGGCGGGGUGCUUAAAGCGUUAGCUGCGCCACCGAUGAGCAAGCUCACCAACGGCUAGCACCCAUAGUUUACGGCGUGGACUAC
rnacentral:misc_RNA from 1 species